rnacentral:rRNA from 2 species
AACUGCUGAGAGGGAAUCGAAUCGUUUCCCAGUGUCUUUGAUCCUUGGUAUAUUUCGCUUGUUUUCUUGGAGACGAGUGCCCUGUACCUUGGUGUGACGUCAGAGUCAGUUCGUGUUGCCGCGGGAAAUGGCUUGAUGGUGAGGUAGGCCCUUUAGCUUGUCUAGGGGCUAUUAUAUGCCGUCUUGCUAGUUGUCGUGGCUGGGACUGAGGUUUUUUCACAGUAUGCCUUCAAGUGCGGUGGCUUUUCAUGCGGUCAUUUAGGAGGAAGGCGUGCCUUGCUUUUGAAUGUUUCUGUAUGAUGAUAGUUAUCGUGAAUUUGUGCUGCUCGGGACUCUGACGAAAUGGAGCGAUUCGCCCCGUCUUGAAACACGGACCAAGGAGUCUAACAGGUGUGCAAGUGUUUGAUCGUGGAACAUCAAGCGCGCAAUGAAAGUAAAGGGCGGCGUGAGUCGUCCGAGGUAGGAAGGUCGCAAGACUGGCACUAUCGACCGAUCAAGAUUCUUCGUGAAGAAAGAUUUGAGUUUGAGCACACGUGUUGGUACCCGAAAGAUGGUGAACUAUGCCUGAGUAGGGUGAAGCCAGGGGAAACUCUGGUGGAAGCUCGAAGCGGUUCUGACGUGCAAAUCGAUCGUCUGACUUGGGUAUAGGGGCGAAAGACUAAUCGAAUCAUCUAGUAGCUGGUUCCCUCCGAAAUUUCCCUCAGGAUAGCAGCAACUUAUUGAUAGUUUUAUGAGGUAAAGCGAAUGAUUAGAGGCCUCGGGGAAGCA